AUCAAACCCGAUAAGGGGUUAAACAAAACCCCCCAAUCAAACUUUCAUCGAGAAAAACCCCAAACCUAUUCAUAGUUCCCUCAAUCAAUUUUCUAAAAACUACCCGAAACCCACUGUUUGGGAUUUAAUCACAUGACCAUUUAGCCUCUCAUCCUUGAAGACCACCACUCCGGCCAUGGGAGCUCGCAACACUAAGGAUUUAAGAAAAAAACUCACAUCACUCUUACCUACCUCCGGUGAUGAUGGUAUCUUGGCAAAGAGACCCUAAGAUCUAUGACUCAUUAACCUCGACUACACUUAUACCCGAAGUUCCCUCUAAUAUCUAAGAGCAAUCGAUUGCAAAAGCUGGUGAAAGUAUUUAUGUUACAACGAAAUAUUCCACAAGUCAU